AAGGCCACCAGGAGACACAGUGAGGAAAGGAUAGCCUCUUCAACAAAUAGUGUUGGGAAAACUGGACAUCCAUAUGCAAAAGAAUGAAAUUAGACCCUUAUCAUUGUCUUGCACCAUUUACAAACAUCACCUCAACAUCGAUUAAAGACUUAAAUGUAAGACCUAAAACUAUAACGCUCCUAGAGGAAAGCAUAGGGGAAAGCUUCAUGACACUGGUCUUGGCAAUGACUUCAUGGAUACAACACCAAAAGUGUG